GACUGACAGAAAUCAUAAGGUACAUAUUUUCUGUCACAUAUCUGAAAUAUAAAUCACAAAAUUCCGUUGGAAGAAACAUACUUUUUCUUUCAUGAAAAUUUCUCCAUUAAAACACAUUUUGCAGUUGAAUAAAUCUUAAAUAUGACUGCCCUGUUAAGAGGUGUUUUUAUUGUUGGUGCUAAAAGAACACCAUUUGGAACAUUUGGUGGCAAACUGAAAGAUUUUACAGCUACUCACCUUGGUGUCUUAGCGAGCAUUGCUGCUCUUGAAAAUGCCAAAGUGAAACCAGAGCAAGUGAAUUCAGUAACGUUUGGUUGCGUGAAUCAGGUAAA